AGUUAAUGAUCUUGAUUAAAGUUUAUGUUUUGAAAACAUAAUAAAGAAAUA
rnacentral:tRNA from 1 species